UUAAAAUGAGAGUUUGAUCCUGGCUCAGGACGAACGCUGGCGGCGUGCCUAAUACAUGCAAGUCGAGCGAGCGGAACUAACAGAUUUACUUCGGUAAUGACGUUAGGAAAGCGAGCGGCGGAUGGGUGAGUAACACGUGGGGAACCUGCCCCAUAGUCUGGGAUACCACUUGGAAACAGGUGCUAAUACCGGAUAAGAAAGCAGAUCGCAUGAUCAGCUUUUAAAAGGCGGCGUAAGCUGUCGCUAUGGGAUGGCCCCGCGGUGCAUUAGCUAGUUGGUAAGGUAAAGGCUUACCAAGGCGAUGAUGCAUAGCCGAGUUGAGAGACUGAUCGGCCACAUUGGGACUGAGACACGGCCCAAACUCCUACGGGAGGCAGCAGUAGGGAAUCUUCCACAAUGGACGCAAGUCUGAUGGAGCAACGCCGCGUGAGUGAAGAAGGUUUUCGGAUCGUAAAGCUCUGUUGUUGGUGAAGAAGGAUAGAGGUAGUAACUGGCCUUUAUUUGACGGUAAUCAACCAGAAAGUCACGGCUAACUACGUGCCAGCAGCCGCGGUAAUACGUAGGUGGCAAGCGUUGUCCGGAUUUAUUGGGCGUAAAGCGAGCGCAGGCGGAAGAAUAAGUCUGAUGUGAAAGCCCUCGGCUUAACCGAGGAACUGCAUCGGAAACUGUUUUUCUUGAGUGCAGAAGAGGAGAGUGGAACUCCAUGUGUAGCGGUGGAAUGCGUAGAUAUAUGGAAGAACACCAGUGGCGAAGGCGGCUCUCUGGUCUGCAACUGACGCUGAGGCUCGAAAGCAUGGGUAGCGAACAGGAUUAGAUACCCUGGUAGUCCAUGCCGUAAACGAUGAGUGCUAAGUGUUGGGAGGUUUCCGCCUCUCGGUGCUGCAGCUAACGCAUUAAGCACUCCGCCUGGGGAGUACGACCGCAAGGUUGAAACUCAAAGGAAUUGACGGGGGCCCGCACAAGCGGUGGAGCAUGUGGUUUAAUUCGAAGCAACGCGAAGAACCUUACCAGGUCUUGACAUCUAGUGCCAUUUGUAGAGAUACAAAGUUCCCUUCGGGGACGCUAAGACAGGUGGUGCAUGGCUGUCGUCAGCUCGUGUCGUGAGAUGUUGGGUUAAGUCCCGCAACGAGCGCAACCCUUGUUAUUAGUUGCCAGCAUUAAGUUGGGCACUCUAAUGAGACUGCCGGUGACAAACCGGAGGAAGGUGGGGAUGACGUCAAGUCAUCAUGCCCCUUAUGACCUGGGCUACACACGUGCUACAAUGGGCAGUACAACGAGAAGCGAGCCUGCGAAGGCAAGCGAAUCUCUGAAAGCUGUUCUCAGUUCGGACUGCAGUCUGCAACUCGACUGCACGAAGCUGGAAUCGCUAGUAAUCGCGGAUCAGCACGCCGCGGUGAAUACGUUCCCGGGCCUUGUACACACCGCCCGUCACACCAUGGGAGUCUGCAAUGCCCAAAGCCGGUGGCCUAACCUUCGGGAAGGAGCCGUCUAAGGCAGGGCAGAUGACUGGGGUGAAGUCGUAACAAGGUAGCCGUAGGAGAACCUGCGGCUGGAUCACCUCCUUUCUAAGGAA
rnacentral:rRNA from 1 species